rnacentral:tRNA from 2 species
GGUCCCAUAGUAUAUCGGCUAGUACAUCCGGUUCUGAUCCGGGGGAGGCCGGUUCGACUCCGGCUGGGACCU